rnacentral:rRNA from 1 species
AGCGGUUAAGUAGCUUGCCCUUUUGCCGGCGAGCGGCGGAUGGUGAGUAAUGCCUGGCAAAUUGCCCAGUCGAGGGGCAUAACAGUUGAAAACGACUGCUAAUUCCGCAUACGCCCUACGCGGGAAAGCAGGGUACCUUCGGGCCUUGCCCGAUUGGAUAUACCCAGGUGGGAUUAGCUUGUUGGUGAGGUAAUGGCUCACCAAGCCGACGAUCCCCAGCUGGUCUGAGAGGAUGAUCCGCCACACUGGAACUGAGCCACGGUCAACACUUAUACGGGAGGCAGCAGUGGGGAAUAUUGCACAAUGGGGGAAACCCUGAUGCAGCCAUGCCGCGUGUGUGAAGAAGGCCUUCGGGUUGUAAAGCACUUUCAGCGAGGAGGAAAGGUUGAUACCUAAUACGUAUCAGCUGUGACGUUACUCGCAGAAGAAGCACCGGCUAACUCCGUGCCAGCAGCCGCGGUAAUACGGAGGGUGCAAGCGUUAAUCGGAAUUACUGGGCGUAAAGCGCACGCAGGCGGUUGGAUAAGUUAGAUGUGAAAGCCCCGGGCUCAACCUGGGAAUUGCAUUUAAAACUGUCCAGCUAGAGUCUUGUAGAGGGGGGUAGAAUUCCAGGUGUAGCGGUGAAUGCGUAGAGAUCUGGAGGAAUACCGGUGGCGAAGGCGGCCCCCUGGACAAAGACUGACGCUCAGGUGCGAAAGCGUGGGGAGCAACAGGAUAGAUACCCUGGUAGUCCACGCCGUAAAGAUGUCGAUUGGAGCUGUGUCCUUGAGACGUGCUUCCGGAGCUACGCGUUAAUCGACCCCUGGGAGUACGGCCGCAGGUUAAACUCAAUGUAU